rnacentral:pre_miRNA from 1 species
CUUGUACUCCCUCCGUCUCAUAUUAAGUGACUCAAAUUUGUCCAAAUAUGAAUGUAUCUAUGCCUAAAAAGCGUCUAGAUACAUGUAAUAGAAAGUCACUUAAUAUGGGACGGAGGGAGUAUCUG